rnacentral:rRNA from 1 species
UCGAACGGACUCAUAUUGAAACCUAGUGAUUUAUGAGUUAGUGGCGGACGGGUGAGUAACGCGUGGAUAACCUGCCGUAUACCGGGGGAUAACACUUAGAAAUAGGUGCUAAUACCGCAUAAGCGCACGGCUCCGCAUGGGGCAGUGUGAAAAACUCCGGUGGUAUACGAUGGAUCCGCGUCUGAUUAGCUAGUUGGCGGGGUAACGGCCCACCAAGGCAGCGAUCAGUAGCCGGCCUGAGAGGGUGGACGGCCACAUUGGGACUGAGACACGGCCCAAACUCCUACGGGAGGCAGCAGUGGGGAAUAUUGCACAAUGGGGGAAACCCUGAUGCAGCGACGCCGCGUGAGUGAAGAAGUAUCUCGGUACGUAAAGCUCUAUCAGCAGGGAAGAAAAUGACGGUACCUGACUAAGAAGCCCCGGCUAACUACGUGCCAGCAGCCGCGGUAAUACGUAGGGGGCAAGCGUUAUCCGGAUUUACUGGGUGUAAAGGGAGCGUAGACGGCAGCACAAGUCUGGAGUGAAAUCCCGGGGCUUAACCCCGGAACUGCUUUGGAAACUGUGCGGCUGGAGUGCAGGAGGGGUAAGCGGAAUUCCUAGUGUAGCGGUGAAAUGCGUAGAUAUUAGGAGGAACACCGGUGGCGAAGGCGGCUUACUGGACUGUAACUGACGUUGAGGCUCGAAAGCGUGGGGAGCAAACAGGAUUAGAUACCCUGGUAGUCCACGCCGU